rnacentral:rRNA from 1 species
UGUUGCCUGCAAGGGCGUAUGGUGGAUGCCUUGGCAGACAGGACCGAUGAAGGACGUUUGAGGCUGCGAUAUGCCUCGGGGAGCCGCCAACAGGGCUUUGAUCCGAGGAUUUCCGAAUGGGGGAACCCACCGGCCGUCAUGGGCCGGUACCGCCGUGUGCGGGGGGUACGCAGGGAAGUGAAACAUCUCAGUACCUGCAGGAAAGGAUAUUCCGUGAGUAGUGGCGAGCGAAAGCGGAUCAGGCCAAACCUUGCGCGUGUGAUACCCGUCGGGGGUUGCGCGCGGGGUGUAGAGGGAUCGCGUUUGCCGGCUCCGACGGGCCGGCCGUCAGUUGCAUAAAACCAUGUGCCAGGGGAACCGGGUUGAAUACCGGGCCGCAGAGGGUGAGGGCCCCGUACCCGAACGCGCAUGGUCUGGCGAUCGCGUCUCCCAAGUAGCACGGGCCCCGUGGAAUCCCGUGCGAAUCUGUCCCGACCGUGGGAUAAGCCUAAAUAUUCCUGUCUGACCGAUAGCGAACGAGUACCGUGAGGGAAAGGUGAAAAGUACCCCGGGAGGGGAGUGAAACAGUCUCUGAAACCAUGCGCCUACGAACCGUCGGGGCCCUCUUGUGGGGUGACGGCGUGCCUAUCGAAAAAUGAGUCUGCGAGUCAGUGGCAUGUGGCGAGCAUAACCCGUGUGGGGUAUGCGUAGCGAAGGCGAGUCUUAAAAGGCGUUUAAAGUCGCGUGUCCUGGACCCGAAGCGGGAUGAUCUAGCCCUGAGCAGGUUGAAGCGCGGGUAAGACCGUGUGGAGGACCGAACCCACCUGGGUUGAAAACCGGGGGGAUGACUUGGGGCUAGGGGUGAAAGGCCAAUCAAAUUCCGUGAUAGCUGGUUCUCUCCGAAAUGCAUUUAGGUGCAGCGUCGGAUCGAUUACAUCCGGGGGGUAGAGCGACUGGAUGCUUGCGGGCCCAUAUCGGGUACCAACAGCAACCAAACUCCGAAUACCCGUGAUGCGUAUCCCGGCAGUGAGUCGGCGGGGGAUAAGCUCCGUCGUCGAAAGGGAAACAGCCCAGAUCGUCGUCUAAGGUCCCCAAGCGUGUGCUAAGUGGGAAAGGAUGUGGAGUCGCAUAGACAGCCAGGAGGUUGGCUCAGAAGCAGCCACCCUUGAAAGAGUGCGUAACAGCUCACUGGUCUAGUGGUUCCGCGCCGACAAUGUAGCGGGGCUCAAGCACACCACCGAAGACGCGGCAGUAGCUUUGCUACUGGGUAGGAGAGCGUCCCAUGCGGGGCGAAGCGGCGGCGCAAGCCCGCCGUGGACCGCAUGGGAGUGAGAAUGCAGACAUGAGUAGCGAAAGACGGGUGAAGAUCCCGUCCGCUGGACGACCAAGGGUUCCAGGGCCACGUUCAUCGUCCCUGGGUGAGUCGGGUCCUAAGGCGAGGCCGACAGGCGUAGUCGAAUGGACGAACGGGUCGAUAUUCCCGUACCGGCAUGCAACCGGCAAAACCGAAUCCGCGAGUACUAACCUCCGGGUCCGGGCUCACGUCUCCUUCGGGAGCCGGAUGCCCUGGCCUGUUGGGACCGUAACGGUAGUAGGUCAGCGCGGGAGUGACGCAGAAGGGUAGCCGGCCGCGGAGGUGGUCUUCCGUGGUCAAGCACGCAGCCCGUCCCACAGGCAAAUCCGUGGGGCGCGUGGGCGAGGUGCGAUGAUGGGCGCCGCAGGGCGCGAUAUCCGGUGAUCCCGGCUGCCGAGAAAAGCUUCGGCGUGAGGCGGCAUGCCGCCCGUACCCCAAACCGACACUGGUGGUCAGGUAGAGAAUACCAAAGCGAUCGAGCGAAUCCUGGUCAAGGAACUCGGCAAAUCACUCCCGUUCCUUCGGUUUAAGGGAGACCCCCGAUGGUGAAGCGGCUUGCCCGCGGAGCUUUUGGGGGUGGCACAGACCAGGGGGUAGCGACUGUUUACCAAAAACACAGGAGCGUGCGAAGGCGCAAGCCGCUGUAUACGCUCUGACGCCUGCCCGGUGCCGGAAGGUUAAGAGGAUCCGUCAGGCCUCGGCCGAAGCGGUGAAUUCAAGCCCCGGUAAACGGCGGUGGUAACUAUAACCAUCCUAAGGUAGCGAAAUUCCUUGUCGGGUAAGUUCCGACCUGCACGAAUGGCGUAACGACUUCCCCGAGUAAAGAUGCUCGUUAAGCGCAGAAGGACGAAAAGACCCCGGGACCUUUACUAUACCUUGGUAUUGGCAUUCGGUGUGGAUUGUGUAGCAUAGGCGGAAGGCUUCGAAGCCACGGCGCCAGCCGCGGUGGAGCCGCAAGGUGAAAUACCGCUCUGUUCGCAUUGGAUGUCUAACCUCGACCAGUCAUCCUGGUCAGGGACAGUGCCUGGCGGGUAGUUUAACUGGGGCGGUUGCCUCCCAAAGAGUAACGGAGGCGCUCAAAGGUUCCCUCAGCCCGGUUGGCAAUCGGGUGGCGAGUGUAAGUGCACAAGGGAGCUUGACUGCGAGACUGACGGGUCGAGCAGGGACGAAAGUCGGAACUAGUGAUCCGGUGCCGGUGUACGGACGCGGCAUCGCUCAACGGAUAAAAGGUACCCCGGGGAUAACAGGCUGAUCAUUCCCAAGAGUCCAUAUCGACGGGAUGGUUUGGCACCUCGAUGUCGGCUCG